rnacentral:rRNA from 1 species
AACGAACGCUGGCGGCAUGCCUAACACAUGCAAGUCGAACGAGACCUUCGGGUCUAGUGGCGCACGGGUGCGUAAGGCGGGGGAACCUGCCCUUAGGUUCGGAAUAACUCCCUGAAAGGGGUGCUAAUACCGGAUAAUGUCUUCCGACCAAAGAUGUAUCGCCUUUGGGUGGGCCCGGGUUGGAUUCGCUGGUUGGUAGGGUAAAAGCAUACCAAGGCGAGGAUCCAUAGCUGGUAGGAGAGGAUGAGCAGCCACGCUGGGACUGAGACACGGCCCAGACUCCUACGGGAGGGAGGAGAGGGGAAUAUUGGACGAGGGGCGAAAGCCUGACAAAGCAACGCGGCGGGAGUGAUGAAGGCCUUAGGGUUGUAAAGCUCUUUUAGACGGGAUGAUAAUGACAGUACCGGGAGAAUAAGCACCGGCUAACUCCGUG